rnacentral:rRNA from 1 species
GAUGAACGCUGGCGGCGCGCCUAACACAUGCAAGUCGAACGAAUAAAGCACCUUCGGGUGUGUAUCACGUGUCGCACGCCUGUGUAACACGUGUGCAACCUGCCCCUUUCAUUUCGAUAGACACGUGAGACCGUGGAUCAUAUCGCAGACUUCGACACUUCCGCAUGGAAGACUCGGAAAAGCUGCGGCGGUGGGGGAUGGUCCCGCGGCCUGUUAGUUUGUUGGUGGGGUAACGGUCUCACAAGGUAAUGAUGGGUAGCUGGGUUGAGGGAGCGACCAGCCAGAUUGGGACUGGGGCACGGGCCAGACCCCUUCGGGGGGGAGCAGGUGGGAAUCAUUCACAAAGGGCGAAAGGCUGAUGCAGGGACGCCGGGUGCGGGAUGAAGGCCUUUGGGGUGGAAACCGCUUUCAGCAGGGACGGGGCGAAAGGGACGGGACCUGCAGGAGGAGCCACGGCUAACUUCGUU